rnacentral:misc_RNA from 1 species
AAGUCGUAACAAGGUUUCCGUAGGUGAACCUGCGGAAGGAUCAUUAACACGUAUCCAACGUUAAAACCCCCCUGUGAACCUUCAGUGUGCUCGUCCAUUCUGUUAGAAAGCCGGGGUAUCUGGUAAAUCAUUGCCGAACAGUUUUGAUUCAGAAACCUUUGCAAAGAGUGGUACUUGUAGCGCGAGGCAAGUGGCCUACGCAGUAACGAUCACUAGAGGCCGACACGGCCGGUGACCGGGUCGCCGGGCUCACGCCCCUUAAUAACCUUUGCAUGAAAACGGGCCUGCGCUUAAUUGUGCGGCCACCAAACUCGAACAACUGUUAACAAUGGAUAUCUUGGUUCUC